ACAUUCUCUACUUAAUAAGAUUGUGU
rnacentral:sRNA from 1 species